UAGUUGGUGGGGUAAAGGCCUACCAAGGCGACGAUCAGUAGCGGGUCUGAGAGGAUGAUCCGCCACACUGGGACUGAGACACGGCCCAGACUCCUACGGGAGGCAGCAGUGGGGAAUUUUGGACAAUGGGGGGAACCCUGAUCCAGCCAUGCCGCGUGUCUGAAGAAGGCCUUCGGGUUGUAAAGGACUUUUGUACGGGAAGAAAGGCUUUGGGCUAAUACCCUGAAGUUAUGACGGUACCGUAAGAAUAAGCACCGGCUAACUACGUGCCAGCAGCCGCGGUAAUACGUAGGGUGCGAGCGUUAAUCGGAAUUACUGGGCGUAAAGCGAGCGCAGACGGUUACUUAAGCAGGAUGUGAAAUCCCCGGGCUUAACCUGGGAACGGCGUUCUGAACUGGGUAACUAGAGUAUGUCAGAGGGGGGUAGAAUUCCACGUGUAGCAGUGAAAUGCGUAGAGAUGUGGAGGAAUACCGAUGGCGAAGGCAGCCCCCUGGGAUAAUACUGACGUUCAUGCUCGAAAGCGUGGGUAGCAAACAGGAUUAGAUACCCUGGUAGUCCACGCCCUAAACGAUGUCAAUUAGCUGUUGGGGUACUUGAUACCUUAGUAGUGUAGCAUAACGCGUGAA
rnacentral:rRNA from 1 species